rnacentral:lncRNA from 1 species
AUCUGAUGAUUGUGAUUGUAAGUUGCAGGAUAAGUUAGUAGAGAGCUCUCUUCUGGUCUGGAGGAUUGUAUGUAUGAUGUAACUCUGUAACACCAAACUGAAUAUCCCUGAUCAAUCCAUCGAGUCAUUGUUUAACCUUUUGAAUUCCUUUCUUGUUUGUUCGUUCAUGAUUGAUGUUCUACAGUGACUGUUCAUGGUGGGCGUUAUGUUCAAGAACAGAGUACAUUUCUGCAGAUUACCAAAUAUGAACAUAUAU